AAGACUAUAGACCUGCGGAGUACCUGCGGAAGGAUCAUUACUGAGUUUCACAACUCUCUAACCCUGUGUGAACUGAAGUCUGGUUGCUCAGGCAGGCGGCCCCCGGGGGGAGCCGCAGCUUCUCUGAAGCGCCUGCCGGAGGAUACCUAAACUCGUUUUAACAUAUAAUCUUCUGAGUAAUAAAAAAAAAAUGAAUCAAAACUUUCAACAACGGAUCUCU
rnacentral:misc_RNA from 1 species